UAUUUUUCAUAAUUUAUUAUAAAUUUAUUUUACAUGUAAAUUUUAGUGUGUAAUCUUAAUUAUUUAAAAAAUAAUUAAUUUAAAUGUACAGUAAUUAAAAUUAAAAAUUUAAGAAAUUAAGAUUUAGUAAUAUUUAAAUUAAAAACUAAUUUUGUGCCAGCAGUUGCGGUUAAACAAAAUUUAAAUUAAAUUAUUUCAGUAUAUAAUAAAUAAUAAAUUAUUAAAAUUAAAUAUUAAAUUAUUAAGUGAAAUUUUAAUUUAAUUAAAAUUUAUAUUAAAAUUAUGAUUUAAUAAAUUUUAUUAUAAACUAGGAUUAGAUACCCUAUUAUUAAAAAUUUAAUUAAAAAUACUAAAAUAGUAAAUAAAAUAUUAUUGAAACUUAAAUAAUAUGGCGGUAUUUUAGUUCAUUCAGAGGAAUCUGUCUAAUAAUUGAUAAUCCACGAAUAAAUUUACUUAAUUUAUAAUUUUGUAUAUCAUUGUUAAAAAAAUAUUUUUAAAUAAAAAUAAUAUUUAAAAAUUAAGAUUAAAAUUUAAUUCAGAUCAAGAUGCAGAUUAUAAUUAAGUUUAAGAUGGAUUACAAUAAAUUUAUUUAAACGGAAAAAAUUUUGUAAUAUUUAAUUGAAGGUGGAUUUGAAUGUAAUUUUAAUUAAUUUAUUAAAAUGAUUAAAAAUUGGAAUAUGUACAUAUUGCCCGUCACUUUCAUUUAAAAAUUGAAAUAAGUCGUAACAAAGUAGAGGUACUGGAAAGUGUUUCUAGAAUGAA
rnacentral:ncRNA from 1 species